GAGAUGGGGAAGAGCGCGAUGCGGUGAGGGACGAUGGGGACAAGUGCGAUGCGAUACGGGACAAGGGGACGAGUCCGAUGCGACCCGGGACGAUGGGGGCGAACGGAUGCGAUGAGGGACAAUGGGGACGUGUGCGAUGCGGUGAGGGACGAUGAAGAGGAUCGCGAUGCGAUGGGGGACGAUGGGUACUAGUGCGAUCCUACGAUGGAGGUUUGGGACGCCUGCAAUGGGAUGAGGCUGUGAGGCCAUGAGUCACGCUGGGGAGGAGCGGGAGGCGGGGAAUCUGUGAGGGACGAUGCGGAAGGAGCACGAGGUGGUGAGGCGAUGGGGGACGAUGGGGAGGAGUGCGACGCGGUGAGGGACGAUGGAGACGACUGCAAAGCGAUGGGGACAAUGGGGACAAGUGUGACUCGAAGAGGGACGAUGGGGAGGCCUGCGAAGCGAUGAGGCUGUGCCUAUACGAGUGAAGAUGGGGAGAAGAGGGAGGCGGGGAGUUUGUGAGGGACGAUGCGGAAGGAGCGCCAGGCGCUGAGGCGAUGGGGGACGAUGGGGACGAGAGCGAUGCGAUGGGGGACGAUGGGGACGAGAGCGAUGCGAUGGGGGACGGUGGGGACAAGUGCGAUCCUAGGAUGGAGGUUUGGGACGCCUGCAGUGGGAUGAGGCUGUGAGGCGAUGAGUCACGCUGGGGAGGAGCGGGAGGCGGGGAGUCUGUGGGGGAGGAUGCGGAAGGAGCGCGAGGCGGUGAGGCGAUGGGGGACGAUGGGGACCAGCGCGAUGCCUUGGGGGACGAUGGGGACGAGUGGGAUGCUGUGAGGGACCAUGGGGAAGAGCGCGAUUCUUUGAGGGACGAUGGGGACGAGUGUGAUGGAUGAGACUGGGAGGGGAUGAGGCGAUGACUCAAGAUGGGGAGGAGCGGGAGGCGGGGAGUCUGUGAGGGACAAGGGGGAGGAGCGCUGUUGGUGAGGAGUCAAGUGAGGAUGGCAGGGAGGGUGAGGCGGUGCCAGGAGGAGCCGGCGGAGGCAGGAAGGAUUCCCCCAGGGCCUCCGAAAGGGAGAGAAUGAAUUCCUGUGGCUGUAAGCUCUCUAUUUGUGGUCAUUUGUUCUGGCAGCUCCAAGAAGUGAGUAAAGCAGCCAUCCUGGCUUGUCCCUGCUGGAAGGGUUUCUGGGACAUGGGAGUUUCAGUGCUAAAAUCAGGAAAACGCGGAGAGCCCAGAUGAGUUGGGCUCUCCAGGCGCCCCUGCCUCAGGCUUGAACUUAGCAUCUGGUGCGAUAAGGAAGCAGGGACCGCCAGGGUCUGUCUGUGGGCUAGGAGCCUGUGCCCAGGUGGUGACCACAGUGCUGGCGGCAAAGCCCCGGCCGGGCUCUUAGGGCCAGCAGGCUGCAGGCCCUUGUGUGCAGGGGUGGCAGGGUGGUCGUGCAGGGCGUGCCAUCCACACCUCACCUGUUCUGCGGUGUGAAGCUGACCUUCAUCCUCACUGAGAUUCUCCAGCCUGAAGCCCCAGCAAUUCUGCCAACUGGCCGGUAGCACCUGAAGGAACGUCCUUCUGCUUAAAUCGGUUGUGGGAGGAAGCUGUGUCUGCAGCAACCCUCUGGAACGAGGGGCCUGCCCCGCAGUGGAGAGACCGGGCCCUCAGGACACAGCUGCACCAGGGCGCAUGGUACUGCCUUAGCACCGGGCACCUGCCACAGGGCGUGUCUUGAACCACAUCAGGCCUGGGCAGCCAGGGAGGUCUUUUCCAGGAAAAGAAUUCAGCCUCAGGAAGCUCCCACCUGUCUGAAGGCCCAGAUGGAGAGGAAGAGGCUGCUCAAAUGAUGAAAUCACAUCAGAUCUGGAAGCUGGCUCAAAAUAACCCAGGAAGGAGAUCGGUCCCUGAGGUCGUGUUCAUGUCUUGGCUAUUGUGAAUAAUGCUGCAAUGAGCAUGGGAGAGCAGAUGUCUCUCAGAGGUAGUGAUUUGGUUUCCUUUGGAUUGAUAAACAAAUGGCUAACAAUAGGAUCGUCGGAGUCUGUGAGGAACCCAUUUGGUCUAAACCUACUUCAGCCUGACAUUGUUUUUUUCCCCAAAAGGUCCUAAUAUGGCCAUUGAGCAUGCACUGUAUGCCUGCUUGAAGCAUUUGCUGUGUCCCAAAGACAAGAACAAAUGGCCUUAAGAUAAAGGUGCAACUUCCCCCACAUUGGCAUUUCCUUAAGGAUGAGCAUCUCUCCCUAGGCUAGAAAUUGUUUGCUGUGCCCAGCCCGUGACCACCCACAUGGAGAUAAAAGUCGGGCUACCUGCUGUGUCCACCGAGACAGCUGACCCACCACCUGCUGUAAUAGCUGUGCUCACAGGGCAAUCCCGAGACUCUUGUGAAAGGGAACUUUCAAUCAUAUGUGAUAGAUGCUCUUUGACGGUACAGAACCACUCUGUACAACCCCUCUUCUUGGGGGCCCUUCCUUAGAGAAGGAAGGCCCAGGGUUAAGCUAAUCCUCAGAUCUGGCUCACAAUAAACUCAGCCCAAUUUUCAUUUAUA